rnacentral:misc_RNA from 1 species
GAUGAAGAACGUAGCGAAAUGCGAUACGUAAUGUGAAUUGCAGAAUUCAGUGAAUCAUCGAAUCUUUGAACGCAUAUUGCGCUCUCUGGUAUUCCGGAGAGCAUGCUUGUUUGAGUAUCAGUAAACACCUCAACUUACAUAUCUUUUUUGAAAUGGGAGUUGGACUUGAGUGAUCCCAACGCUUUUCCUCACCGAAAAGUGGCGGGUUACUUGAAAUGCAGGUGCAGCUGGACUUUUCUCUGAGCUAUAAGCAUAUCUAUUUAGUCUGCCUAAAAAACAGAUUAUUACCUUUGCUGCAGCUAACAUAAAGGAGAUUAGUUCUUGUGCUGACUGAUGCAGGAUUCACAAAGACGGCUUCGGCCGACUUUGUAAACUCGAUCUCAAAUCAAGUAAGACUACCCGCUGAACUUAAGCAUAUCAAUAAGCGGAGGA